rnacentral:rRNA from 1 species
CAGCAGCCACGGGAAUACGUAGGGUGCAAGCGUUAAUCGGAAUUACUGGGCGUAAAGCGUGCGCAGGCGGUUAUAUAAGUCAGACGUGAAAUCCCCGGGCUCAACCUGGGAACUGCAUUUGAGACUGUAUGGCUAGAGUACGGUAGAGGGGGAUGGAAUUCCGCGUGUAGCAGUGAAAUGCGUAGAGAUCUGGAGGGACACCGGUGGCGAAGGCGGCCAUCUGGGACAACACUGACGCUGAGGCACGAAAGCGUGGGGAGCAAACAGGAUUAGAUACCCCUGUAGUCCCUGUCUCUUAUAC